AUUGAACGCUGGCGGCAGGCUUAACACAUGCAAGUCGAGCGGGGAAGAGUAGCUUGCUACUUGACCUAGCGGCGGACGGGUGAGUAAUGCUUAGGAAUCUGCCUAUUAGUGGGGGACAACAUCUCGAAAGGGAUGCUAAUACCGCAUACGUCCUACGGGAGAAAGCAGGGGACCUUCGGGCCUUGCGCUAAUAGAGGAGCCUAAGUCGGAUUAGCUAGUUGGUGGGGUAAAGGCCUACCAAGGCGACGAUCUGUAGCGGGUCUGCGAGGAUGAUCCGCCACACUGGGACUGGGACCCGGCCCAGGCUCCUUCGGGAGGCAGCAGUGGGGCAUUUUGGCCCAUGGGAGGAACCCUUAUCCAGCCAUGCCGCGUGUGUGAAGAAGGCCUUUUGGUUCGAAAGCACGUUAUGCGAGGAGGAGACUACCGAGAUUAAUACUCUUGGAUAGUUGACGUUACUCGCAGAAUAAGCACCGGCUAACUCUGUG
rnacentral:rRNA from 1 species